AUGGCGAUUGAUAGAUAUGAACAUGUGGGCUACAUAAAUGGACAAGUACAGCCAGAAGUUGUUGCAUUUCCUGCAGUUCCCACUCCCAGUCCCACUUUCG